GUAGGGAAUAUUGCGCAAUGGACGAAAGUCUGACGCAGCGACGCCGCGUGAGUGAUGAAGGCCUUAGGGUCGUAAAGCUCUGUUGAAUGGGAAGAAAAAAAUGACGGUACCAUUCGAGGAAGGACCGGCUAACUUCGUGCCAGCAGCCGCGGUAAUACGAGGGGUCCUAGCGUUGUUCGGAAUCAUUGGGCGUAAAGGGUGUGUAGGUGGCCAUGUAAGUCAGGUGUGAAAGCCCCGGGCUCAACCCGGGAAGUGCACUUGAUACUGCGUGGCUUGAGUACCGAAGAGGGUAGUGGAAUUCCAGGUGUAGUGGUGAAAUACGUAGAUAUAGGAAGGAACACCAGUGGCGAAGGCGGGUAACUGGACGAACACUGACACUGAGGCCCGAAAGCGUGGGGAUCAAACAGGAUUAGAAACCCCAGUAGUCC
rnacentral:rRNA from 1 species